UGAGCCUAGGAUAGGAGGGGAAAAUCUAUUUAAAAAAAAAAAAAAAAUCAGGAGCAUCUCUCUGAGAAACCCUCUUAAACAAAAUCAAAACAGGACUAGAGAACCUCAGACCGACCCUAACAUCCCUGCUGUGAGGCCCGCGGGCUGUGGAAUCACGCACGUCACCUGGCCCCAGCAGGGCGGCCAGCUGAGGGGUUCUUUUUAUUUUAUUUUCCUUUAUUUUUUGAAGUUAAGGCUGAAUCUGGGCUUCAGUGCUUUUGCCAACGUCUUCCCUGAAAGGAACCAGCAAACUUCAGGACUCAAAUGAGCGUCUUAAUUUAUUGAUGCAAAACAGGUCUGCUUGUCGCCCCCAAUUCUCGGCGCGCUCCGUGCCCCACGCCCCCAGCUUCGGUCCCUGCAUUCGAUCUCAGGGUCAAAAAGUGGAACACUGAGAUAAUUAACAAAUAAGACAUGGUACUUAAGGAGAAUCAGAGAAGACUAUCAGGAUGAAUUCUGAGCAUCUUCAACUGGAUUUUCAUGGCUCUGGAAAUUUUCUUCCCACUUCUGAUAACAUUCCCAAGUUGGUAACAAAGGCCACGAUUCCUGCCCAUUUUCUCCUCUUACCACAAGACCUGGAUUAAUUAGGACAAAGGAGCCAAAAAAAGCUUCACAUGUGAGAUAAAUGCACUCAAAGACUCCUCACAAGUAGCUCUUUGGAGCUUCAGAUGUGAAAUGGAUCAUUCCUCAAUCUGUAAUAGACCCUUCUGUGAAGCUCUUCAAUCAAACCUGAGAAUUCAAGGCAUUUUGUAGCAUCCUAAACAGAAGGAUAUUGAAGGGAGCUGAUUCUGCUUUGAUCCUUGUGCUUGUUGUCAAAGCGCUUGGGAUUGAAGAGACUGUUGGCUACAAUUGACUGUGACAAUUAGGAGAUGAUCAGAGCCCUAGAGUGGAGCACUUAAAGGGUUUGCAUUUAAAACACUCUUGGAGAACUAAUUGUAUAAAAUUCUGGUAACUGCACAUUCUCUUUUUAGAGAGGUAAUGAGCGAAUGAAUGAAAAGGCAGGGAUUAUUUGCCAUUCUAAGAGCCGGGAUUGUCAGAACAUUUCUACUUGACUGAAAUUGUUUUGGAAGGUGAGCUGGAACAAGAAUCCUGCAAAUAAAAUGAAGUGACUCUGCAUGUGGUUUUGGGAUGUUUCUCUUCAUCAAAGAAUUCUAUAGAACUGCUCUGGGACUUAAGUUAAUUUAGAUUUUAUUUAUGAAAGAAUAUUUAGGUGAAUCCUAUGAAAACAUCUUAAAGUACACAUAUUUGACUCUUAACAAGUAAGUGGCAGUUUUUUGAAGGCUCAUUUGGAAUUAUUUGAAAAGAGUUUCCCUAUUACUAUCACAGUGUUUUUUCACUCUACAAAUUGCCAUGUUGUGACAAAAUAAAUUAUUGAAAUGCUUUGAAAAGUUUUUAGAAAUGUGCCCAAGGAAACAAUAUGUAAAUUGUUAAAGUUAAUUCACUUGUCAGUUUAUUGAAAUGUUGCUGCUACUGAAAACUCCAAGAACCUUUAGCACAACAUUCCAGAACAUUUGCAGUUUUAUUUUAAUGAGUAGCUCUUUCUUUGUAUGUGCUUGGAGGUGGCAAUAGAGUUG